rnacentral:lncRNA from 1 species
CUGAUUUAUAUCAUGAGAGUACCGAGGAGGGUCUUGAGCUGGUAUAUCAUGAUAUUCAUUUGCCGGAUCCCCUUGUUGAUCCGGAUGAUUACCUUCUUCAAAACGAUUAAUCUCUUCCUCCUCCCUCAAGGCUUCCUCUCUCGCAGCAUUCCCCUCUCCUCGGGGCACAAUCGGACCUCUCUCAAACUUUUUGAUGAAGUAUGAUAAAGACAAUGGACGAACGGGAUGAAGAUCACCUUCUUGCACAUUCAUGGGAACAUUAUUCGCCCUACACAAAGCAGCGAUGAGAUUGCAAUGUCCCAAAGUAAAAGUCGGAUUCGGAUGAUUGGCUAUCUCAUGAAGAUCUUUUUGUAACCAAUAUCCCAAAUUAAUAAACUUCCCUUCAACCAACAACCGAACCGCGUGCGCAUUAUCCAGCUGAAUUUCUGAAUUGUUGCCGACAACCCUCACAUUUUUCAACCAAAACUCGCCCCAAGCACGGUGAACCGGAUUGAAACUUGUUAAGCUCAACCUUCUAGG